AGAGUUUGAUCAUGGCUCAGAACGAACGCUGGCGGCAGGCUUAACACAUGCAAGUCGAACGGCUGUAGCAAUACAGCAGUGGCAGACGGGUGAGUAACACGUGGGAACCUUCCUAGGGGUACGGAACAACUCAGGGAAACUUGAGCUAAUACCGUAUACGUCCGUAAGGAGAAAGAUUCAUCGCCCCUAGACGGGCCCGCGUCGGAUUAGGUAGUUGGUGGGGUAACGGCCUACCAAGCCUGCGAUCCGUAGCUGAUCUGAGAGGAUGAUCAGCCACACUGGGACUGAGACACGGCCCAGACUCCUACGGGAGGCAGCAGUGGGGAAUCUUGGACAAUGGGCGCAAGCCUGAUCCAGCCAUGCCGCGUGAGUGAAGAAGGCCUUAGGGUUGUAAAGCUCUUUUACCAGGGACGAUAAUGACGGUACCUGAGAAUAGCCC
rnacentral:rRNA from 1 species